rnacentral:rRNA from 1 species
CGCAGCUAACGCAUUAAGUUAUCCGCCUGGGGAGUACGUUCGCAAGAUUAAAACUCAAAGGAAUUGACGGGGGCCUGCACAAGCGGUGGAGCAUGUGGUUUAAUUCGAAGCNACGCGCAGAACCUUACCAACGUUUGACAUCCUCAUCGCGAUUUCCAGAGAUGGAUUUCUUCAGUUCGGCUGGAUGAGUGACAGGUGCUGCAUGGCUGUCGUCAGCUCGUGUCGUGAGAUGUUGGGUUAAGUCCCGCAACGAGCGCAACCCUCGCCUUUAGUUGCCAUCAUUUAGUUGGGUACUCUAAAGGAACCGCCGGUGAUAAGCCGGAGGAAGGUGGGGAUGACGUCAAGUCCUCAUGGCCCUUACGCGUUGGGCUACACACGUGCUACAAUGGCGACUACAGUGGGCAGCGACCAUGCGAGUGAAAGCUAAUCUCCAAAAGUCGUCUCAGUUCGGAUUGUUCUCUGCAACUCGAGAGCAUGAAGGCGGAAUCGCUAGUAAUCGCGGAUCAGCAUGCCGCGGUGAAUACGUUCCCAGGCCUUGUACACACCGCCCGUCACACCAUGGGAGUUGGUUUCACCCGAAGGCAGUGCGCUAACCGCAAGGAGGCAGCUGACCACGGUGGGAUCAGCGACUGGGGUGAAGUCGUAACAAGGUAGCCGUAGGGGAACCUGCGGCUGGAUCACCUCCUUAAGCUUGGAUCCCGGG